rnacentral:rRNA from 1 species
GGGGAAUAUUGCACAAUGGGCGAAAGCCUGAUGCAGCAACGCCGCGUGAGUGAUGAAGGUUUUCGGAUCGUAAAGCUCUGUCUUCUGGGAAGAUAAUGACGGUACCAGAGGAGGAAGCCACGGCUAACUACGUGCCAGCAGCCGCGGUAAUACGUAGGUGGCGAGCGUUGUCCGGAUUUACUGGGCGUAAAGGGUGCGUAGGCGGAUGUUUAAGUGAGAUGUGAAAUACCCGGGCUUAACCCGGGGGCUGCAUUUCAAACUGGACAUCUGGAGUGCAGGAGAGGAGAAUGGAAUUCCUAGUGUAGCGGUGAAAUGCGUAGAGAUUAGGAAGAACACCAGUGGCGAAGGCGAUUCUCUGGACUGUAACUGACGCUGAGGCACGAAAGCGUGGGUAGCAAAC